CCUAUGUUUAACCCGAGCCCUUUCUUGAGCGUCAAAUGUAGUGUGUUUGAUCAUUGGGCUGGGUUUUUCAGGAACCUUCUCAGAUAGAAGUGUAACACCCGCAACCCUAUAUGUACCACUAAUGAGGCUCGAGAAUAUCAGAGUGGAACGGCGAUCUCUCCAAGUUCCCAAUGUGUGUAGUUGGUCGUAAAUAAGAGUGGCGAGAUCUAUCUUGUUACCCCGAACCAAGUGGUAGAUAAGCCCUGCUGUCUGAUCGGGGAAUGUAGUCCUGUGCGAGAUAGGCUCGAUAUUAUGGCACGUGAAGAGCCAUAGAAUGGCUAUGGAUGGGGUAAGCUCGAUCUAAUACCACUCGGUAGUUGCAAGGGUCCAUGCAUUUUUCAGCCCCAUCAAAACCUCGGCAAAGUCAACUGGGAUAGGGAUCACAUUAUCCACUGUGAGUUGGUAGUAAUUAUGAAUGACCUCGGGAGAGAACAUAAUCCACUUCCCCCACACCCAAGUCUGAUGGAAAUGCUCAGAACCCGGCGUGUCAAUUUCACUGUUGAAGUUGGUGAAAAACUCUCGGCAUAGAGUCUCAUAGAUUGGAUGUGGUCGCUCCACCAACUUGUGUCACCCACAUAUCUGAACUAAGUUGACCAAUUCAAAAUAUGGGAAGUCAUCAAGCUUAAUGGGUCUUUCAGCGUGUAUAGUUCAAUGGCGUAUGAUAUUCUCAUACCGCGCCGCGGUGUCCGCAUUUAAGAAUCGCCGAACUUCCCCCGCAAACUCUCUAGUACGGGCUGUACCGGUGGAGGAGCUUGCUUUUUUCUUCCCGUGCAAAGUUCUCUUAGGAGGCAUUCUACAAGGUUUGUAAACAUAGGAGUCAUUAAACUUCUUGUUGAAAAACGAGAGAGGGAAUGAGAUUAGCAAGACAAUAAUGUCACAAAUCCCCCAAACUUGCUUCAACAUGCACAAAUAACUCCUUGGCAUGCAAACUUCAAAACACGAUACUCAAGAUAGUGUAAAUAGUGUGCUC
rnacentral:lncRNA from 1 species